rnacentral:rRNA from 1 species
GUCUACGGCCACGCCACCCUGAACAAGCCCGAUGUCUGAUCUCGGAAGCUAAGCAGGGUCGGGCCUGGUUAGUACUUGGAUGGGAGACCACCUAGGAAGAUCGGAUGCUGUAGGCA